rnacentral:rRNA from 1 species
AGAGUUUGAUUCUGGCUCAGGAUGAACGCUGGCGGCGUGCCUAACACAUGCAAGUCGAGCGAGAAGGUUAUGUGAUGCGAUUCGGUCAAAUCUAUAACUGGAAAGCGGCGGACGGGUGAGUAACGCGUAGGCAACCUGCCCUAGCAGGGGAUAGCAUUGGAAACGAUGAUUAAAACCCCAUAACACGGAAUGUUCACAUGUAGAUUCCGUCAAAGAUUUAUCGGCUAAGGAUGGGCCUGCGUCUGAUUAGGCUAGUUGGUGAGGUAACGGCUCACCAAGGCGACGAUCAGUAGCGACCUGAGAGGGUGAUCGGCCACAUUGGAACUGAGACACGGUCCAAACUCCUACGGGAGGCAGCAGUGGGGAAUAUUGCACAAUGGGCGAAAGCCUGAAUGCAGCAACGCCGCGUGAAGGAUGAAGGUCUUCGGAUCGUAAACUUCUGUCCUUGGGGAAGAAGAAAGUGACGGUACCCAUGGAGGAAGCCCCGGCUAACUACGUGCCAGCCGCCGC